rnacentral:misc_RNA from 1 species
GAACUGCAAGUCAUGCCACCCACCACAUCGUCGAUAUCCCGAUCUUCACAGCCGGUGGCCACGGCCGCACCGCGACCGGUUGGUGCACAGCGGAAGCUCUCCAAGGAGGUGCAGGAACUCAUCGAUAAGCGCACGGAGGAGCUUAAGCAGGAGACGGGGCAGCAUGAGAAAAAGUUUAUACAGGGUCGGUGGGUGACCGACACAGCCGCCCUGCGCAACCGCGGGGCGCGCCGACGGGAGGAGCUGAACCGACAAGCCCCCAAGAGACUCGCCAAGGUGGACAUGUACUAUCAAAUGGAGGAGGACAACACCGGGCUUUUGCUGGACGAUCACGAAGUCGCUGACCGCGUCUCGCAGCGCGACAUUGCCAGUGGCGUGGAUCUGCAGACCCAGCAGAAGCGCUACAGCCUCGUGCUGGAUAAGCUGGGGCCCUACAAGAUUGACUUUUCGAUGAACGGCACGCACCUGCUGCUCGCGGGCCUGCGCGGUCACAUGGCCAAUAUUCGCUGGAAAUCCUUUCACCUUGAGGGCGAGACACAACUGAAGGACCGCAUCAGCGACGCCAUCUUCCUGGUCGACCACAGUAUGACGGCAGUCGCGCAGAAGAAGUUUGUCUACAUGUACACGAAAGAGGGAACGGAGAUGCACCUCCUCUCCAAGAUGGCGCACAUGGACCGCCUUGGGUACCUGCCAAGGCACAUGCUGCUCGCCGCCACCUCAUCCACCUAUAGCACAAUGCAGUAUCUGGAUAUUAGCACUGGGCAGGAGGUGGGCACCAAAGUGCCCGCCGUCAUGCGCGACCCGACGAGCUGUCUCGCCGUGAACCCCAGCAAUGGCGUCGCCGCCACAUGCGACCUGCGUGGCGUUGUGAAGUUUUGGUCACCAACGGUGGUGGACCCGCUGUUGCAACUGAAGGGCCACAAGGGCGUCAUCGAGGAUAUCUGCUUCCACCCGAAUGGCCGCUUCUUUUUGACCCUCGGCGGCGACCACGCGAUGAAGGUGUGGGAUUGCCGCACGCUCCGCACGCUAGAGGAGUACGCCGUCACCUAUAGCUUUCACACACUCGACAUCUCCAGCAGCAGCCUCGUGGCGCUCGGCGGUGGCACAAACGUGCACAUCUGGAAGGAUAUGUUCACCGCCGCCAAGCCGAGCUCACCCUACAUGAAGUUUGGCCUCGGCUACGGCAAUAUUGCCGAGCAGGUGCGGUUCUGCCCCUUUGAAGAUGUGAUUGGGAUCGGCCACUCGCGCGGCUUUACGUCGCUGCUGAUCCCAGGCUCUGGGGAGGCGAACCCCGACUUCUACUACGCCAACCCACACGAGACGGAGCGGCACCGCAAGGAGCGGGUGGUGACGAACCUGCUCGACAAGCUUCCGCCCGACACCAUCUCGAUGGAUAUCCAGGUCCCUGGCGUUAAUGAAAAGCGGCUGGCAGAAUACAACGAAAAUCUGCGACUGAACCGCAAGGCGCGGGCGAUUCGCGAGAAGAAAAUGCGGCGCGCUAGCAAGUCGCUGGGAGAGGCGGCGCCGACCGGUCUCUUGGUGGGCCGGGACGAAGAAGUGGAUGAAGAACUCGGCUACAAGGAAGCACCCAAGACAAAGGAAGUCAAGUCGAAGCAGGAGCUGCAGCGGGAGCGCAAGAUGGCAAAAUGGGACAAGAAGGACAGCGCUGAUAAGGUGCGCAGCAAACAGACGCUCCGCGCCUCCCGCAUUGCACAGCGUAACCGCGCGCAGAUGGCGCGCGACGCACGCAACGGAGUGUACGACGAGAACGCGCUGGACGCUGAGGAGACAGAAGCGCUCGCUGCGGCGUCUCGGGCCGCAAAGCAGCACAAGAAGCUCGCUCGUAAGGAGGCACUCGAGAUAGCGAAUGACAUUCGCGGACAGCUUCGACAAGACUUGGACUACGAUCUGGAGGCGCCUCCAGCGCAGCGUCGUCGUCUCCAGAAGUCAUACCACGGCAGCGACAAAGACGGUCGCGGCGCUGAGGAGCGUGGCAGUAGCGGGCCAGAGGCCGUGGCACGUACGAAUGCCGCGUUCAAGCGCUUCCUCCGGUGACGUUGGGGAAGCGAACGCACUCACGAAAGUGCGAAAAAAAACACGAAAACGGCAGAAAGUUCUUGGUGGACUCAAAGAUGGUGCCAGAGCCUCCUCUUCCUCCUCCGGUGGCGUAGAGUGACAGGGGGGGCCACAGGAGUUUCCUCCCCCUCCCUCCUCCCCUCUCUUUCGUUCUUUACGUCUGCCGUACUUCCUGUAUCCUUGAACGUGCCUGUGCAGCGGUAGGACGUGGCUUUCCCCCUCACCCGUGAGAGCGCGUUUCACUCGAGCUUCUACAGACACCUACGCAUGCAUCCACCGGCGUGCGUGCCUUUCGCACGUGUAUGGGACGUCUGUGGACAUGCCAUAUGCCCGCUCUCAGCUCUCCCUGUUUUUCUGCCCGCUCCCUCACCGCCAGAUCUCUCGCUCGACAUCUGUGGGGCGUGCUGGUUAAGGCGCGCUGCGUUUUAGACUUUGCGUUUCUACCUUCUCUUGUUUUCUUGUGUUGUUGGUGUGGUCUUAACCGCUUAACCGAAAGGGAAGACGGGAGUUCAGUUCCUCCUCCUCCUCCCUCUCUCUCGCACACCCCCCUGAACCCCAUCAGUCAUGCAACACGCGUCGUCGCUUCCCUUUGUUGGGCGUCAUCGAUCUCCCCCCUUCCCUCACCUUAUCUGGCGCAGUCGAGGCAAAACGCAAGAAAGAGGCGGGAGGGGAGGGGAAGGGAAGGGGGUGAUGCAAACGCAUAAUGGUGUCUUAAGUCGAAUGAGGUUAGUUUUUUUUUGCGGUUCGUGUGCACAUGUCCUUCUUCUAACGCAUGUGCGGCGGGGCCUUUUUUUUUCGCGUUGUGCGGUAGGCGUGCGCGCGCACACACAGGCACGCUCCAAACAAAUGAGAUGAACGGUAGCGUGGCUAGGAGAGAGUCGGAGUAGUGAAGAUACAUUCGGAAGGGGGUGUGAUGCUCUGUAUAUGUCUGUGUGCAUGUACACUUCUCCGUACAUGUGCGCAGAUGCGGGUGUGCUCACCUCACUACUUCUCUCUGUCCCACUCAUCCAUACAUCUGCGAGCGGCGUG